UACGGAGGGUGCAAGCGUUAUCCGGAAUCACUGGGUUUAAAGGGUGCGUAGGCGGCUUGAUAAGUCAGGGGUGAAAGCCCGCAGCUUAACUGCGGAACUGCCUUUGAUACUGUCGAGCUUGAAAGAGGUUGAGGUCAGCUGAACGUGACAUGUAGCGGUGAAAUGCAUAGAUAUGUCACAGAACACCGAUUGCGAAGGCAGCUGGCUGGACCUACUUUGACUCUGAGGCACGAAAGCGCGGGGCGCGAACAGG
rnacentral:rRNA from 1 species